UACAGAGGUCUCAAGCGUUGUUCGGAUUCAUUGGGCGUAAAGGGUGCGUAGGUGGCGUCGUAAGUGGGGGUGUGAAAUCCCGGGGCUUAACCCCCGGGACUGCAUUCCAUACUGCGGUGCUUGAGGACUGGAGAGGAGACUGGAAUUUACGGUGUAGCAGUGAAAUGCGUAGAGAUCGUAAGGAAGACCAGUGGCGAAGGCGGGUCUCUGGACAGUUCCUGACACUGAGGCACGAAGGCCAGGGGAGCAAACGGG
rnacentral:rRNA from 1 species